rnacentral:rRNA from 1 species
CCUACGGGAGGCUGCAGUGGGGAAUAUUGGACAAUGGGGGGAACCCUGAUCCAGCCAUGCCGCGUGUGUGAAGAAGGCCCUCGGGUUGUAAAGCACUUUCAGUGAGGAAGAACGCCUGGUGGUUAAUACCCAUCAGGAAAGACAUCACUCACAGAAGAAGCACCGGCUAACUCCGUGCCAGCAGCCGCGGUAAUACGGAGGGUGCGAGCGUUAAUCGGAAUUACUGGGCGUAAAGCGCGCGUAGGUGGCUUGAUAAGCCGGUUGUGAAAGCCCCGGGCUCAACCUGGGAACGGCAUCCGGAACUGUCAAGCUAGGGUGCAGGAGAGGAAGGUAGAAUUCCCGGUGUAGCGGUGAAAUGCGUAGAGAUCGGGAGGAAUACCAGUGGCGAAGGCGGCCUUCUGGACUGACACUGACACUGAGGUGCGAAAGCGUGGUAGCAAACAGGAUUAGAUACCCUAGUAGUC